UACGUAGGGUGCGAGCGUUGUCCGGAAUUAUUGGGCGUAAAGAGCUCGUAGGCGGUCUGUCGCGUCGGUCGUGAAAACUUGGGGCUUAACCCUGAGCUUGCGGUCGAUACGGGCAUGACUGGAGUUCGGCAGGGGAGACUGGAAUUCCUGGUGUAGCGGUGAAAUGCGCAGAUAUGAGGAGGAACACCGGUGGCGAAGGCGGGUCUCUGGGCCGAUACUGACGCUGAGGAGCGAAAGCGUGGGGAGCGAACAGG
rnacentral:rRNA from 1 species